rnacentral:rRNA from 1 species
AACGAACGCUGGCGGCAUGCCUAACACAUGCAAGUCGAACGAGAGCUUCGGGUCUAGUCGUGCACGGGUGCGUAACGCGUGGGAACCUGCCCUUAGGUUCGGAAUAACUCCCCGAAUGGGGUGCUAAUACCGGAUCAUGUCUUCGGACCAAAGAUUUGUCGCCUUUGGAUGGUCCUGCGUUGCAUUAGCUAGUUGUUAGGGUAAAAGCCUACGAAGGCGACGAUCCAUAGCUGGGCAGAGAGGAUGCUCAGCCACACUGGGGGUGAGACACGGCCCAGACUCCUGGAGGAGGGAGCAGUGGGGAAUAUUGGACAAUGGGCGAAAGCAUGAUCCAGCUAGGCCUCGAGAGUGAUGAAGGCCUGAGGGUUGUAAAGCUCUUUUAUCCGGGAUGAUAAUGACAUUACCGGGAGAAUAAGCUCCGGCUAACUCCGUG